rnacentral:tRNA from 1 species
GGAUGAGUGACCGAGUGGCUUAAGGUAGCGGUUUACUAAACCGCCGUCCCCUUAAAAGGACCGUGAGUUCGAAUCUCACCUCAUCCGCAA